rnacentral:rRNA from 1 species
GACGAACGCUGGCGGCGUGCUUAACACAUGCAAGUCGAACGGAAAGGCCCUGCUUUUGUGGGGUGCUCGAGUGGCGAACAGGUGAGUAACACGUGAGUAACCUGCCCUUGACUUUGGGAUAACUUCAGGAAACUGGGGCUAAUACCGGAUAGGAGCUCCUGCUGCAUGGUGGGGGUUGGAAAGUUUCGGCGGUUGGGGAUGGACUCGCGGCUUAUCAGCUUGUUGGUGGGGUAGUGGCUUACCAAGGCUUUGACGGGUAGCCGGCCUGAGAGGGUGACCGGCCACAUUGGGACUGAGAUACGGCCCAGACUCCUACGGGAGGCAGCAGUGGGGAAUAUUGCACAAUGGGCGGAAGCCUGAUGCAGCAACGCCGCGUGCGGGAUGACGGCCUUCGGGUUGUAAACCGCUUUCGCCUGUGACGAAGCGUGAGUGACGGUAAUGGGUAAAGAAACACCGGCUAACUACGU